GAAACGAUCACUUCGGAUACAUAAAAAAUGAGGUCAGUAACAUUGAGUCCCAAAGCAAAGAGCCGGCCUUUCCGGGCUCACCACGUAGCUUCCUCCCCGGCCCUGCUCAUGGCCCUGCCUGGCUGUCUCCUCUGCCUGGAGGCCUCUCACUCACCUUUAGGGUGGGCUCCUGGCAGGGCAGGGUGGCCUGAGGGGCCUUAGGGAGGAUUUAGGGGUGAACACCCAAGAUCCCGGGUCCAUGAGAUUCCUGGAGCCAGGAGAAGGUGGCUUCACCACUCAAUUCAGUCAUAGGGACCAGCCAGGCCCAGUCCCACAGAUGAGGAGUCCUGGAGGGUCCUAGGCCUGCUCAGGUCCUCAGGAAGCAGAUGCUGAGCGGACCUGGGGCAUGCGACAGGUGACAGUAAUGCCCAGAAGAGAUGGGGCGUCAGGAGUCACCCGACUGGCCUGAAAAUCUGAUGGCACCUCCAGCGCCACGGCGAGCUCUGGGGCCAGGGCCACCUGCUGCAGGGACCACGGGUUGAGUGGCAACAUCCAGGCCCCAGCCACUUGCAUCUCAGCCACUGGAAAGGUAGGGGCCUCUGGGGGGCUACCCUGUUCACAGAUCUUUCUAGGGGAGACCCCAGAGACGGCCUCCCUGGAGCCACAUUGCGAGUGGCCAGAGCCGCAUCCCGCAUCACGCCCUCUGAGGGGCCAGCAGACAGCUCCAGGCGGAGCUCAAAGUGUCCUCGGACUCCAGCAGGAAGUGCUGGACUGGAUGUCGGUGGGGGCCUUUGAGAUCCCGAUUCUGCAACCUCAGCUCCCGGGGCUCUCCAGGCCCACAGUCCUGCUGACUGAAAUGUUGGCAAUGGUGGCCACUGCGCCUCCGCUCAAGAGUUUGCAGGAAGUUCCAUGCGGGAGAUCAAGUGAGAGUGGCCAGGGGCCUCUAGCAGUGACCAGCAGACAAAGCCUGGUCUCCAGGCAUCACCAGGCCACUGGGCCAGGAGCCUGAGCUGUGGGCUCUGUGGUGGGUGGAUGCUGGUUUUCUUCACUGGUACGGGAGAAAAUGGGGAUCCUGAGAGAUCCCAUGGAGAAG
rnacentral:lncRNA from 1 species